CAACACUGUUCAAAUCAACAGUGAUAUGGAUGAUAAAAGGAUGAAAAUCACUGUAGAUAAGGAAGGGGUUAAUUUCAACCCUUGAUUUGCAAACUGAUCUCAGCCGCUGAAUUUUCUUUCUUCUCUCCUCUUUUUCCGUCUUUCUCUGUCUCCCUUUCUCUUUCAUCUCUCUCUCUUUCAAAGCAUCAACACACGCAACAUAGGAAGUAAAGGAACCUUGAGAAAUCAACAAUCAUCUGAUCCUGUUGCAAAACCUUAUUGGAGCCCUAGAAAGCCGAGAAAGGAACUUUACGUCAUUUAUGGGAUUCGAAUUCGAGAAAUGCGUCAUUGGCUCCACAUUCAUUCUUAUGGAUAUGACAGAUCUGGGUCAAAUUAGCUUAUUCUUGAACUGGAUGUUAUUCGUUACAUGAGAUUGAAAAAAUAGAAGCAAAUGAGGCAUCCUUGGAAGGGAGUACUACUCAAAAUGGUGACAUCAACGAGACCACAAAAUAAACUUGCUGCUGUGGUGUAGCAUCUGCAUGAAAAAGGAAAAAGAUCGAGGUUAUUGCUAAUCUUAUGAUUGAGUUGUUUUCAUAAUAAGGCUAAUUUGUGUAGUCAUUUGAAUUAUUAAUGUAUAGUUGAAUACUUGAAUAUUUAUGUAGGAAUUUCUAGAUUACAAACUUUGGUAUCAAGCUUCUAACUGCUAUAUUUUGCAAAUUCAAUUCUGUAUAAAAGUUAAAUAUCAAGCUAGGCUUCUAACAGCUUUAUUUUGCGAUCUUAUUCAAACUUUAUUUUUCUCAUGUAAAUGGAUAAUCUUGGUAUUACUUUUCCGUAUUGUAGUAUUGCUUAGUGUCAACCUUUCACUACUAAAUGGGACUAAAUACUCAUACUUUUGUUCCCCUUAUUUGUGGGUCUAAAUUUUAUGGAGCAAUCACUUAUAUUAGGAGUUUUUCCUUUGAUUCUAAGUUAGUUUUCAUAUCCUUUUUUUUUUGGACUAUGGAUCUUUUUUGUUGUAUUCUGGUUUCUUUUGUACAUAACAUUUGCUUAAGCUAGAAAAAUAAGAAACUCGCAAGAUCAAGUUCUAGCUAGAUGUGGUGAUUUUGGUUGAAUUGCUUGAAGAGGUGAGUGUUCCCUUCAGUUUUCCCUAAAUUCACCUAUUUUAAGUUUAAUUUAUGAAGUUUAAGUUAAAUAUGUAAGAGCUACUAUUAUGCACGACUGUGUUGUAAGGUUAAGUUUGCCAGUUUAUUAUUUUUUUGUUUGUUUAUGUUCUUCCUAGCUUCUAUGCUCAAGUGAGGAGAGGAGAGUCCAUUAUUUGUUUUUGUGUUUUCUUCAUAAGUUAUUGACAAUCUUAGCUUCGAAAACUUCAAUUAUUUGGGGUAAUAUAUAAACAGAUAAAGGAAGAGGGUUCAUUGGUCUCCUAAAUGUGCCCAUUGACUUUCAGAUUGUCGCAAUGGAAAACCACUUCUUGUGCACGUAAAAAACACUCUUGCAUUUCUUCAAUAACAAUUUUCUCUUUGAUAUGCCCGUUAAUUUGGUGAUCUUAGUAAUGCCCUCAACGUGUUCGACGAAAUGCUUCAAGGAAAAAUUAUAUCUUGAACUCUCUUGUGCGUCAUUGUUUUGCUAAGCUAAGUAUUUGACACUUUCCCUAUAUACUUAUUGAAGCUAUGAGGCCUAAUGAAUUUACUUGCACUUAAUGCUUGCUCCAGGUUUAGGUUUGUUAAGCAAGCUUACCAAAUUUGCAUGAAUUUACUUGCACUUAAUGCUUGCUCCAGGUACAGGACUACUUUUGUAGAGUGUAGACAACGUUGACUGGUAGGAGUACCAUUGAUUAUAUUUUAGAUUUUUGCUUGUUUAUUGGACCCUUUCAUUUUGGUUCGAGUAUGGUCAUCACUUGCGGUAAUAAAGUAGGUGUUGUCCCUUCAAUGUCGCUCUUUUAUUACUGUGUAAAUUUCUAAUAUGUAACAUACUGGGAGUGGAGAAACACAUUUCCUGUCUUAGAAUCCCCUGUUGAGAUAUUUGGGUUGUGAACUUUAGUGUUAGAUAUCAUUCCUGGCCUUAAAACUCUAAAUUCAAAUAUGUUUAUACGUUUCUAUAACCUUUUAAAAGUGGCAAUUAUUGCUACUGUAGCAAUCAAUAGUGAAAUGGGUGAGCAAUCCUUGAAAUUCACUGUUCAUAAGAUUAGGCAAAUUUGAGCCCUUCAUCUGAGCCUUCAUCUCAGCCGCACAAUGUUUUCUUUCCGCCUUAUUUCCCUGUCUUUCGUUAUCUCUCCUCUUCUCUCUCCUCAAUGUCUGACUCUCUCUCUCCUCUUUUGUCAAAAGUCACCUUUUCCAAAUCUUUCUCCAUUUCAUUGAUUUUCAGUUCCUGAACAAGUUAGGGUUUAUCUAUGGCAGAGCACGCAAAGGUGAAGGAUGCAAUGGUGUUUCAAUUCCCAAUUUUGGGUAUGUUUGUUCCUGCGUUUUCCCUUAUUUUAGACUAUAUCCUUGCUUGUUGAUAUUCAUUUGUUAGUAGAGUGAAUUGGGUAAAGCUCAAAUUUCUCACUAAUAUAUGGUCUUCUUUUUUUGGGUCGAUUUUCUGAUUUAUGUAUCUCAAUUUUUUUUUCCUAUUUUCAUGAUAAUUAACCUAAGGCAAAAUAAGCAUUUAGGGUUUCGGGACAGAGACGAUGGUUGUCGGCGACCCAUUGUUCUUGGUAAAAGUUGCUGAGCAAUAUAAUCUUAUAAGUUGUUGGAGUUUUCAAUGUUUAAUUUUUUUCAUUGUAAUUCUCUUUUUGAUUUUUGCCAAUUAUAUCAGUUUGAUUGCCUUGCUUAGUGAACAUAUAUAAUAUAUGUGUUUCUUUUCUUUAAAAUAUAGAAGUGUAUUUAUUUAAUUUUGAUGAGAUAUUAUGUCAGAAAUCCUAAUCAUUUUCUUCUUAUUCUCUGAAAUAUUUGGGUUUACUAAAUUCAGGGAAAAAAUAGGGAGAAAUGAAGUUUUUCUCCGUGAGCUAUAUUCGGAAGAAGAUUCAAUAAUGGGUUUUAUUAUGAGUAUUUUUGGAUAUGGAUGUAGAUCCUUCUCGUGGGCUUGUCUUUGCGUGCUACUUCACCUUCUUUCAGUCCACUAAUGUAUAGGUUUGCCUCGAAAUUUCUCAAUUCCCUCAUUAUCUGUGUUUUUCAACCAUUUAUGUGUAAUGCCCUCAUUGCUAUAUUUAUUUUCUAAUAUUUUGGAUUGUUCUGUUCCUCUAUGAUGGGUGUAGCGAUUGCCUAUUAGUAUCCUCAUGUUGUUGCUGAAAAUGUGUUGCAAUUACAUUAAUGUACAUAGUCUUACUGCAAUUACAUAUAUGUUGGUGCUGCCCUGGCAAGAUAUUGUGCUCCCAUCCUCAAUAACAACAUUGGUUCUACUCCACACAGACAAACACCCCUGUUUUUCAUUUCACCUCUUGCAUGUCUCAUUCCUCCUUUUCUAUACAACUACCAACAUGUGUAUGUAUGACAUGCUCAUAUUCUAUUUGUUUAGAUAUCGCGGCGCUGAAAUGCGUUCUAUGAUGGUAUGUUGGAUUUGAGGGCCUUCUGUGUGUCGACUUGGACUUUUGGGUACGGUUUUGUAUCUCAUUUUUAAAAAAAGUUAAGUUAUUCAUCCGUUUGAUUGUAGUUAGUUGGACUUUCACGUGUGUCGACUUAGAAGAUGUGCUUUUUUGCUUAUCCUUAUUAUACUAGGGAAAUUUGUUUGCUUGUAUAACCUUUAGUUCUUCUGUGUUUCAGGGAUUGUUUAUUAUAUGGAAAGAAAAUCACUACUUUCAACCUUCGCUCGUAUUAUAGGUUUUUUUUUCUCGUACUCCUACUUAGUACUCUUUCUUUGUGACUAAAUUAUAGAAGCAAAAACAAAAAAUUUGAAGGUAUCAACUAAUCAAAGUGCUUGGCUAUUUAAUCGUCAUUAAGCACUCUGAUGUUGGUACUUUACAUUCGCUUAAGACAUUUUGUUGGUAUACUGGGAGUUAUGUGCAUUAGUGUUUAUAUUAUUUACAUGUGCAUCUGCCAAGCCAUGGACCCAGAACCAUAGUUUCUAAGAACUAGAAAAACUAAUUAGAGAAAAGGGCAGUAAAGUCCUACAUAGAGGCUCUUUUGAACACAUACAAAUAUUGAAAGAAAAGAGGAGUUGCCCAAGGGAUUGGGUAAGUCACUGUUGUACUAAAACAAUGCAUUUUUAAAGAACCUUUAUUAAAUCAGUUUCUCAUAAGUCUCUCCCACAUAAUGAAGUAAUUUAUUUGUCCGAUGAAAUAAAUAUUAAAGAAGAAGAAGAUGAGUUGUAUAUGCGCAUCCAUUGACUGUUGAGUUUUUUUUUCCAGUGAAAUUGGCGAGUUUAGAACCGGAUCUUGCUUCUUUUUUCCCUGCGGAUGAACCUGCUGUUUUUGACGUUUGUUGUUUUGCAUUUUUUGUUGCUUGUUUCCCGUAUGAAACCCUGAUAUCAUAUGAGUUCUUGAUUCUUUCGUUCAAAUUUUUGUUCUUUUACCUUUUCAAAGACUUUGUUGUAAUUCGAAUUGAAAGAAUGGACCACGGUUUUGAUAAAUUUCAGUUUCUGAUAUUUUUUUUUUUGGUAUUUAUGUAUUAGGCUGCUUCUUCUCUUCUACAUCUGGAUUGUUGAGGUAUUGAUUGAAUUUUUACUUUUUUCAUCUGGGGGUGUUGAUGAUCUCAAUUGAGUUGUUUAAGUCUUUUAGUGUUGACUUAGUGUCUAAAUGAAGUGUUCAAGAAGUUAUGUGUUAUGUUAUUUUUUUCAGAGCCGAGUAUACAAUUAUAUUAUAGAUUGUUUCCGUAUGAUUUGCGUUAUCCCCUUUACUACUAUUGUUUCUUGACCCCCAUGUGACCAAUACUUGGUUGUCACUAUAGUUUUUAUUGUUUCCUGGAAUUUUUUGUGCUUGAUCUAUGUUAAUCUAAAGAACAUCUCCAAUCUCUAUGAAAUCUGAGUUAUACCUAUCAAAUCACACCUUGCCUGUUAUAUUCAGGAAGAAUAACAGUGUAUGGCUGAAAACUCAUCACUUGGCAAGAAACUUUCUUUGGAUCUGGCUAGGUAAUUGCUCAUUGCUAUUUUCGAAUUUCUACCGGGAAAUAUUAUUAGUUCUGAAACUGGCAAGGAGCCAAGGAACAUACAAAUGAUCAUCACAGUGCUUCAGUUACCAGUGCUGAAAAAUUGACAAGCUUAGGUCAGAACUUAUCUCAAUUUCGUAUGUACCACGAGACAAAAAUUGCACUUCCAGGAAAUGGGCAUCCAUGAACAACAGUUGAAAUAAUGUGUGUUGUAUCUUGUGAUAAAAAGGGCUUCUUAAGUUUAUUGUGUACUACUUCGGCACUCUUUAGCCAAGUCUUAGAACUGUGAUCAACAAACAUGUACAUUGGAUGUAAUUUCUGAAUUUUGUGUGAUAUGAUGAAUUUUGUAUAAAAGCAAACGAUUUGAGUUUGUCUCA